rnacentral:rRNA from 1 species
GAUGAACGCUGGCGGCGUGCCUAAUACAUGCAAGUCGAGCGAAUGGAUUAAGAGCUUGCUCUUAUGAAGUUAGCGGCGGACGGGUGAGUAACACGCGGGUAACCCGCCCAUAAGACUGGGAUAACUCCGGGAAACCGCGGCUAAUACCGGAUAACAUUUUGAACCGCAUGGUUCGAAAUUGAAAGGCGGCUUCGGCUGUCACUUAUGGAUGGACCCGCGUCGCAUUAGCUAGGUGGUGAUGUAACGGCUCACCAAGGCAACGAUGCGUAGCCGACCUGAGAGGGUGAUCGGCCACACUGGGACUGAGACACGGCCCAGACUCCUACGGGAGGCAGCAGUAGGGAAUCUUCCGCAAUGGACGAAAGUCUGACGGAGCAACGCCGCGUGAGUGAUGAAGGCUUUCGGGUCGUAAAACUCUGUUGUUAGGGAAGAACAAGUGCUAGUUGAAUAGGCUGGCUCCUUGACGGUACCUAACCAGAAAGCCACGGCUAACUACGUGCCAGCCGCCGCCGUAA